rnacentral:rRNA from 1 species
UACGGAGGGUGCUAGCGUUGUUCGGAAUGACUGGGCGUAAAGCGCACGUAGGCGGCUUUGUAAGUUAGAGGUGAAAGCCCGGGGCUCAACUCCGGAAUUGCCUUUAAGACUGCAUCGCUAGAAUUGUGGAGAGGUAAGUGGAAUUCCGAGUGUAGAGGUGAAAUUCGUAGAUAUUCGGAAGAACACCAGUGGCGAAGGCGCCUUACUGGGCACAUAUUGACGCUGAGGGGCGAAAGCGUGGGGAGCAAAUAGG